CCUCCGAUAGCUCAAUGGUAGAGCGCGGGUGUACUUUCCAUGCCGGAGACGUUGGUUCGAGUCCAACUCGGAGGA
rnacentral:tRNA from 1 species